ACACGCAGUGGGGGAGUAACGCGGGGAAACCGGGACGCUAAUACCGCAUGAUGCCGAUGAUGGAGACGUCAUCGAAGAAAGGCGCAAGUCGCUGUGUGAGGGGCCUGCGGCCGAUUAGCUAGUUGGAGGGGUAAAGGCCCACCAAGCGAUGAUCGGUAGCUGGUCUGAGAGGAUGGUCAGCCACACUGGGACUGAGACACGGCCCAG
rnacentral:rRNA from 1 species